GAUGAACGCUGGCGGCGUGCCUAAUACAUGCAAGUCGAGCGAACAGAUAAGGAGCUUGCUCCUUUGACGUUAGCGGCGGACGGGUGAGUAACACGUGGGUAACCUACCUAUAAGACUGGAAUAACCCCGGGAAACCGGGGCUAAUGCCGGAUAACAUUUAGAACCGCAUGGUUCUAAAGUGAGAGAUGGUUUUGCUAUCACUUAUAGCUGGACCCGCGCCGUAUUAGCUAGUUGGUAAGGUAACGGGUUACCAGGGCAACUAUUCGUAUCCGACCUGAUGGAGGGAUCGCCCACCUUGGAAGUUGACCAGGGUCCAUGCUCCUAAGGGAGGGCGCAGACGGCUACGUGACGCAGUAGGCGAAAACCUUGCGGAACAACGCCGCGUGAGUGAUAACGGUCUUGGGAUCGUGAAAAUCUGUUACUGGGGAAGAACAAAUGUGUACGUAGCUGUGCACGUCUUGACGGUACUGGAUAAGAAAGCCACGGCUAACUACGUG
rnacentral:rRNA from 1 species